UACGUAGGGUGCAAGCGUUAAUCGGAAUUACUGGGCGUAAAGCGUGCGCAGGCGGUGAUGUAAGACAGAUGUGAAAUGCCCGGGCUUAACCUGGGAACUGCAUUUGUGACUGCAUGGCUAGAGUUUGGCAGAGGGGGGUAGAAUUCCACGUGUAGCAGUGAAAUGCGUAGAUAUGUGGAGGAACACCGAUGGCGAAGGCAGCCCCCUGGGUCAAGACUGACGCUCAUGCACGAAAGCGUGGGGAGCAAACAGG
rnacentral:rRNA from 1 species